AUUGAACGCUGGCGGCAGGCCUAACACAUGCAAGUCGAGCGACGCUGCCGACGGGUGAGUAAUGCCUAGGUAUCUGCCUGGUCGUGGGGGAUGGCGUCAGGAAACGGGAGCUGAUCCCGCAUACUCUCAGAUGAGCCUAGGGCGGAUUAGCUAGUUGGUGGGGUAAGGGCCUACCAAGGCGACGAUCCGUAACUGGUCUGAGUGGAUGAUCAGUCACACUGGAACUGAGACACGGUCCAGACUCCUACGGGAGGCAGCAGUGGGGAAUAUUGGACAAUGGGCGAAAGCCUGAUCCAGCCAUGCCGCGUGUGUGAAGAAGGUCUUCGGAUUGUAAAGCACUUUAAGUUGGGAGGCGGUACCAACAGAAUAAGCACCGGCUAACUUCGUGCCAGCAGCCGCGGUAAUAC
rnacentral:rRNA from 1 species